GACGAACCACACGAACGUUAUUCGGAAUUACUGGGCUUAAAGGGUGCGUAGGCGGCGCGGUAAGUAGGGUGUGAAAUCCCUCGGCUCAACCGAGGAACUGCGCUCUAAACUACCGUGCUCGAGGGAGGUAGAGGUGAGCGGAACUUAGGGUGGAGCGGUGAAAUGCGUUGAUAUCCUAAGGAACACCGGUGGCGAAAGCGGCUCACUGGAUCUCUUCUGACGCUGAGGCACGAAAGCUAGGGUAGCGAACGGG
rnacentral:rRNA from 1 species